rnacentral:rRNA from 1 species
AGACGGAUAAAAGUGAUCAGAAGUCUGAGGAGCACGCCGCGUGAGUGAUGAAGGUUUUCGGAUCGUAAAGCUCUGUUGUUAGGGAAGAACAAGUACCGUUCGAAUAGGGCGGUACCUUGACGGUACCUAACCAGAAAGCCACGGCUAACUACGUGCCAGCAGCCGCGGUAAUACGUAGGUGGCAAGCGUUGUCCGGAAUUAUUGGGCGUAAAGGGCUCGCAGGCGGUUUCUUAAGUCUGAUGUGAAAGCCCCCGGCUCAACCGGGGAGGGUCAUUGGAAACUGGGGAACUUGAGUGCAGAAGAGGAGAGUGGAAUUCCACGUGUAGCGGUGAAAUGCGUAGAGAUGUGGAGGAACACCAGUGGCGAAGGCGACUCUCUGGUCUGUAACUGACGCUGAGGAGCGAAAGCGUGGGGAGCGAACAGGAUUAGAUACCCUCGUAGUCCA